rnacentral:rRNA from 1 species
AGUGAACGCUGGCGGUAGGCCUAACACAUGCAAGUCGAACGGCAGCACAGUAAGAGCUUGCUCUUACGGGUGGCGAGUGGCGGACGGGUGAGGAAUACAUCGGAAUCUACUUUUUCGUGGGGGAUAACGUAGGGAAACUUCCGCUAAUACCGAAUACGACCUACGGGUGAAAGCAGGGGUUCUUCGGACCUUGCGCGAUUGAUUGAGCCGAUGUCGGAUUAGCUAGUUGGCGGGGUAAAGGCCCACCAAGGCGACGAUCCGUAGCUGGUCUGAGAGGAUGAUCAGCCACACUGGAACUGAGACACGGUCCAGACUCCUACGGGAGGCAGCAGUGGGGAAUAUUGGACAAUGGGCGCAAGCCUGAUCCAGCCAUACCGCGUGGGUGAAGAAGGCCUUCGGGUUGUAAAGCCCUUUUGUUGGGAAAGAAAAGCAGCAGGUUAAUACCCCGCUGUUCUGACGGUACCCAAAGAAUAAGCACCGGCUAACUUCGUG